rnacentral:tRNA from 1 species
GGGUCGGUGGUCUAGCUUGGCUAUGAUUCGUGGUUUGGGUCCACGGGAUCCCCGGUUCAAAGCCUAAUCUGAAUUACAGAAUGUGUGAAAAUCCGGGCCGGCCCACCA